AACAGUGCCACCCCCUGCCUCUGCAAGAGACCCUCCAACACUAGCAGGAGAAGCUGAAAGUUCCUGAGAGAAGCACAUAAAGAGGACAUGAAUCCACACAUAGAAAAAGGUGAGCAUGAUGUGCUGCCUCACCAAAUGGUCCCACAUGCAGAAGAACAAGCUCGGCUGUGGCUGCGUCUGCCCUUCUGUUACCAAGGGCAGUGCAUACUUCCGGUGGAGGCUGACUUGUGAGGUGACCUUUUUGUUAUCUUUUCCUGCGAAAUGAGCAGAUUCUAGCAGAUGCUGCUGAAACCUCUUUCUUGUCAAUUCAGCAGAGAGAAAGCAUCUUUCCCAUUAUUUAUUCCAAAUGCAUACUUGGCAUGUUCCUGAUUCAUAAUGGCUAGUGGUUUCAUUCAUACACAGUGGUCAAUUGAGUUCCUGUGUCUGAGGCAGGCCACCAAGCAGGCUAAGAUCAAGGCAUCCCAUCCCAGAUUUCUGCUUCUCCACAGUGAACUUCAGUGAUCUCUGUUGAAUGAGAAGCUUGAAUUCUACUCUUGGAAACAGGUGCCCUGACUGGCCUCUGCUGGAACUGUAGGGAAAUUGUUCUGAGACAGCCUGGGACCUGGGACCCUUUGCUGCAGUGCUGCAGUGCUUGGACCUGGACACACCUCUCCUUGAGCAACAAAAUACAAAGAAACUCUAUGGGACUAAAAGUAACUGCGUGCAUGCCAAAUUCUGGACCCAAAAAAUGCAAAGAGACCAAAAAACCCAACUGCCGCUUUUGAAGAGCCUGGAGCAAAAACAGGGUGUUGGGAGCAAAAGCAAGGUACUUCUCAUGCCCCCUGCACACAACACCACCUAAGGGGUGGGCAAAACACCUAAGCCACCCCUCUGGCCUGACCCCUGGACACACCCCUACCCACACCCCAUAUAAGAAACAAGCUUGCCUCACCCCUCCCCCAGGGAGCUAGCAAGCAAGGGAAACUGUUGUUUGUUCUCGCUCCCCACUGCUGCAGCAGGGACCCCACUUAAGCCUCGCCUGAAUGUCUUGUCCAGCCUCUUAUCAAUUUCUAUUGAUUGGGGAAGGCCAAGAACCCUGGUUGGUAACAGUUCCAUAGGUAACUCAAAUUGUUUGGAAAAGAAUGAGCUCUAUUCCUUUUUUCUGGGGCCACUUGUCACAUCCAUACUGUGAGUUAAGAGGCUUCCAAGUGUUAUUUGGGUAUUUAAGCACGUCAAUUUGGUGUUACUUAUAAACCAACAUAAAAUUAUAUUGAUAGUUUUCAUGCAUGGUGGAGGUCUCUCAAAUGCAAAGAAACAUGACUGGCUGGCAAAGAAAGUGACAACUGAGCUGUUUGGCCAUUGUGUCUGUCCAUAACUAUGAAUAAGGAAGACAGACAGAAAGGAAAGAUGGAGUCCAGAGGGCUAAGGGGGAAUAAACAGGCCCAGCUUCCGGAAUCUGAACACUGCUGAAAAUUUCCCUCUAAUCUUACUGUGGAAACCAGAAGGGCAUCAAUUUAAGAUACAUGUCGAUCACAGAGUUUGGUACCUGCUGAAGUUGCUUUACACAAUCUGUACUUUCUACUGAGGGGCAGCUGUGUGCUGCAGGGGAUGUAAAGGUGAAUCUGAUAGGAUCUGGUCCUUAAGAAACAUGUAGCUCAGUAGCAGAGAGAAGCCAUCCGUGUAAAUAACUAUAACAAAAGUGAUUAGGAGAGGAACUUCAGAGCAGAGAUAGAAGCACAAUUCUGAGCUAGAUUAGAAGAGGAUGUUAAGAACCCAAGCUCUUCCACCUCCACCUCCCUGAUUCAUUUGGAAAAAGAGGAAAGCAUGGAGAGUCUGUGAGUGCUGUGUGCCACUGGCUUACUGCAUCCAUGUCUUUGAUGGCUCACAUAAACAAUUCAGAAGAUGCCUUCAGGCAUGGCUAGAUCCAGGACUCAAAUUUUCUCCCCAGGAUACUGUCUCCUUUUACCUUAAUCCUGCUUUCCCCUGAAUUGCUUCCAUUCUCAGUCAGGCUCAUCCUCACAGCUAAGAAAAAGAAUUCCUCUUUCACACUUUUUCAUAGUGGCUAGAAGGAUAAGCAAUUGACUAGGCCUUGGAUACGAGACAACCCCUAAAGCUACAAUGGUUUGGGUCAUAACCCCCCUCCCUGGACUAACUGAGAAAGACAAUUAAGGUGUUGUUUUACUUUAAUAAAAAAAAAAAAGAGGUUGA